rnacentral:rRNA from 1 species
UACGGAGGGAGCUAGCGUUAUUCGGAAUUACUGGGCGUAAAGCGCACGUAGGCGGCUUUGUAAGUUAGAGGUGAAAGCCCAGAGCUCAACUCUGGAAUUGCCUUUGAUACUGCAUCGCUUGAAUCCAGGAGAGGUGAGUGGAAUCCGAGUGUAGAGGUGAAAUUCGUAGAUAUUCGCAAGAACACCAGUGGCGAAGGCGGCUGACUGGUCCGGUUCUGGACGCUGAGGCGGCGAAAGCGUGGGGAGCAAACAGG